rnacentral:rRNA from 1 species
GAACGCUAGCGGCAGGCUUAAUACAUGCAAGUCGAACGGGAAUUGGGUAGCAAUACCUGAUGAUAGUGGCGCACGGGUGCGUAACGCGUAUGCAACCUACCUUUAACAGGGGGAUAGCCCGGAGAAAUUCGGAUUAAUACCCCAUAGUAUUAUGGAGAGGCAUCUUUUCAUGAUUAAAGUUCCGGCGGUUAAAGAUGGGCAUGCGUGCCAUUAGCUAGUUGGUGAGGUAACGGCUCACCAAGGCGACGAUGGUUAGGGGUCCUGAGAGGGUUAUCCCCCACACUGGUACUGAGACACGGACCAGACUCCUACGGGAGGCAGCAGUAAGGAAUAUUGGUCAAUGGGCGGAAGCCUGAACCAGCCAUGCCGCGUGCAGGAAGACGGCCUUAUGGGUUGUAAACUGCUUUUGUCAGGGAAUAAACCCUCGUUUGCGAACGAGGCUGAAGGUACCUGAAGAAUAAGCAUCGGCUAACUCCGUGCCAGCAGCCGCGGUAAUACGGAGGAUGCGAGCGUUAUCCGGAUUCAUUGGGUUUAAAGGGUGCGCAGGCGGGCGUAUAAGUCAGGGGUGAAAUGCCACGGCUCAACCGUGGAACUGCCUUUGAUACUGUAUGUCUUGAGUUUAGUUGAAGUGGGCGGAAUGUAGCAUGUAGCGGUGAAAUGCAUAGAGAUGCUACAGAACACCGAUAGCGAAGGCAGCUCA